AUGCCCCUUCCAAUUCCAUAUCACCCAUGGGAAGAUAUUAGCAUGUAUUUUGUGCUUGGUUUUCCUAGAACAAGAAAUGGCAAAGAUUAUGUGUUUGUUGUUGUGGACCGAUUCUCUAAGAUGGCUCAUUUUAUCCCAUGCAACAAGAUAGACGAUGCUUCACAUAUUGCAAAUCUCUUUUGUAGGGAAAGCUUACGACUCCAUGGAGUGCCAAAGACGAUUGUCUCGGACCGUGACGUCAAGUUCUUGAGUUACUUUUGGAAGACUCUAUGGGCCAAGCUCGGAAUCAAGCUCUUGUUCUCCUUGGCAUACUAUCCUCAAACCGACAGCCAAACGGAGGUGACGAACCGAAUGCUCUCCACUCUACUACGAGAGUUGAUCAUGAGGAACAUCAAGGAGUGGGAAGAGUGUAUACCCAUCACUGAGUACGCCUACACCCGAGCAAGACAUUCAACUACCGGCAAUUCCCCUUUCGAGGUCGUCUACGCUUUCAACCCGUUGUCCCCAUUGGAAAUUCUACCUCUACCACUACAAGAGCGCAUCACCAUGGACGCGAGUGAACGAGUAAGCUACCUCAAGAAGAUGCAUGAAGCUACAAGGCACACCAUCGAGCGCUAG
rnacentral:rRNA from 1 species